UACGAAGGGGGCGAGCGUUGUUCAGAAUUACUGGGCGUAAAGGGCGCGCAGGCGGCCUUAGAAGUCAGGCGUGAAAGCCCCGGGCUCAACCUGGGAACAGCGCUUGAUACUCUGGGGCUGGAGUACGGGAGAGGAGAGUGGAAUUCCUGGUGUAGCGGUGAAAUGCGCAGAUAUCAGGAAGAACACCCGUGGCGAAGGCGGCUCUCUGGGACGGUACUGACGCUGAGACGCGAAAGCGUGGGGAGCGAACAGG
rnacentral:rRNA from 1 species